AGCGUACACGGUGGAUGCCCUGGCAGUCAGAGGCGAUGAAGGACGUGCUAAUCUGCGAUAAGCGUCGGUAAGGUGAUAUGAACCGUUAUAACCGGCGAUUUCCGAAUGGGGAAACCCAGUGUGUUUCGACACACUAUCAUUAACUGAAUCCAUAGGUUAAUGAGGCGAACCGGGGGAACUGAAACAUCUAAGUACCCCGAGGAAAAGAAAUCAACCGAGAUUCCCCCAGUAGCGGCGAGCGAACGGGGAGCAGCCCAGAGCCUGAAUCAGUGUGUGUGUUAGUGGAAGCGUCUGGAAAGGCGCGCGAUACAGGGUGACAGCCCCGUACACAAAAAUGCACAUGCUGUGAGCUCGAUGAGUAGGGCGGGACACGUGGUAUCCUGUCUGAAUAUGGGGGGACCAUCCUCCAAGGCUAAAUACUCCUGACUGACCGAUAGUGAACCAGUACCGUGAGGGAAAGGCGAAAAGAACCCCGGCGAGGGGAGUGAAAAAGAACCUGAAACCGUGUACGUACAAGCAGUGGGAGCACGCUUAGGCGUGUGACUGCGUACCUUUUGUAUAAUGGGUCAGCGACUUAUAUUCUGUAGCAAGGUUAACCGAAUAGGGGAGCCGAAGGGAAACCGAGUCUUAACUGGGCGUUAAGUUGCAGGGUAUAGACCCGAAACCCGGUGAUCUAGCCAUGGGCAGGUUGAAGGUUGGGUAACACUAACUGGAGGACCGAACCGACUAAUGUUGAAAAAUUAGCGGAUGACUUGUGGCUGGGGGUGAAAGGCCAAUCAAACCGGGAGAUAGCUGGUUCUCCCCGAAAGCUAUUUAGGUAGCGCCUCGUGAAUUCAUCUCCGGGGGUAGAGCACUGUUUCGGCAAGGGGGUCAUCCCGACUUACCAACCCGAUGCAAACUGCGAAUACCGGAGAAUGUUAUCACGGGAGACACACGGCGGGUGCUAACGUCCGUCGUGAAGAGGGAAACAACCCAGACCGCCAGCUAAGGUCCCAAAGUCAUGGUUAAGUGGGAAACGAUGUGGGAAGGCCCAGACAGCCAGGAUGUUGGCUUAGAAGCAGCCAUCAUUUAAAGAAAGCGUAAUAGCUCACUGGUCGAGUCGGCCUGCGCGGAAGAUGUAACGGGGCUAAACCAUGCACCGAAGCUGCGGCAGCGACACUAUGUGUUGUUGGGUAGGGGAGCGUUCUGUAAGCCUGUGAAGGUGUGCUGUGAGGCAUGCUGGAGGUAUCAGAAGUGCGAAUGCUGACAUAAGUAACGAUAAAGCGGGUGAAAAGCCCGCUCGCCGGAAGACCAAGGGUUCCUGUCCAACGUUAAUCGGGGCAGGGUGAGUCGACCCCUAAGGCGAGGCCGAAAGGCGUAGUCGAUGGGAAACAGGUUAAUAUUCCUGUACUUGGUGUUACUGCGAAGGGGGGACGGAGAAGGCUAUGUUGGCCGGGCGACGGUUGUCCCGGUUUAAGCGUGUAGGCUGGUUUUCCAGGCAAAUCCGGAAAAUCAAGGCUGAGGCGUGAUGACGAGGCACUACGGUGCUGAAGCAACAAAUGCCCUGCUUCCAGGAAAAGCCUCUAAGCAUCAGGUAACAUCAAAUCGUACCCCAAACCGACACAGGUGGUCAGGUAGAGAAUACCAAGGCGCUUGAGAGAACUCGGGUGAAGGAACUAGGCAAAAUGGUGCCGUAACUUCGGGAGAAGGCACGCUGAUAUGUAGGUGAGGUCCCUCGCGGAUGGAGCUGAAAUCAGUCGAAGAUACCAGCUGGCUGCAACUGUUUAUUAAAAACACAGCACUGUGCAAACACGAAAGUGGACGUAUACGGUGUGACGCCUGCCCGGUGCCGGAAGGUUAAUUGAUGGGGUCAGCGCAAGCGAAGCUCUUGAUCGAAGCCCCGGUAAACGGCGGCCGUAACUAUAACGGUCCUAAGGUAGCGAAAUUCCUUGUCGGGUAAGUUCCGACCUGCACGAAUGGCGUAAUGAUGGCCAGGCUGUCUCCACCCGAGACUCAGUGAAAUUGAACUCGCUGUGAAGAUGCAGUGUACCCGCGGCAAGACGGAAAGACCCCGUGAACCUUUACUAUAGCUUGACACUGAACAUUGAGCCUUGAUGUGUAGGAUAGGUGGGAGGCUUAGAAGUGUGGACGCCAGUCUGCAUGGAGCCGACCUUGAAAUACCACCCUUUAAUGUUUGAUGUUCUAACGUUGACCCGUAAUCCGGGUUGCGGACAGUGUCUGGUGGGUAGUUUGACUGGGGCGGUCUCCUCCUAAAGAGUAACGGAGGAGCACGAAGGUUGGCUAAUCCUGGUCGGACAUCAGGAGGUUAGUGCAAUGGCAUAAGCCAGCUUGACUGCGAGCGUGACGGCGCGAGCAGGUGCGAAAGCAGGUCAUAGUGAUCCGGUGGUUCUGAAUGGAAGGGCCAUCGCUCAACGGAUAAAAGGUACUCCGGGGAUAACAGGCUGAUACCGCCCAAGAGUUCAUAUCGACGGCGGUGUUUGGCACCUCGAUGUCGGCUCAUCACAUCCUGGGGCUGAAGUAGGUCCCAAGGGUAUGGCUGUUCGCCAUUUAAAGUGGUACGCGAGCUGGGUUUAGAACGUCGUGAGACAGUUCGGUCCCUAUCUGCCGUGGGCGCUGGAGAACUGAGGGGGGCUGCUCCUAGUACGAGAGGACCGGAGUGGACGCAUCACUGGUGUUCGGGUUGUCAUGCCAAUGGCACUGCCCGGUAGCUAAAUGCGGAAGAGAUAAGUGCUGAAAGCAUCUAAGCACGAAACUUGCCCCGAGAUGAGUUCU
rnacentral:rRNA from 1 species